AAUUGCUAGAGAGUAGAGACAAAGAACACAUUCUAUUAUUUAGAUUACCUUUCUGUCUACUAUAUAAUAUUAUAAUAAUUCUUUUUGAAGCCUGGCCUAGGCGAUUGAUGUUGAUGAUAGCUCGAAGAGCAUUCCCAGCUCCGUAUAAAUACUCCAUGAACUUAGCUAGCUGCAUAUUAUAGCUAAGCUUUAGAAAGUACAAAGCAAACCUCCCUUUCUUUCUUUCUUCCUUUCUUGCUUUCUUUCUUUCUUCUACUACAACUUACUCCUGCUACGUACGUAUCUUUGAUCUGCAGAGGUUAAUUAGGGUUUCAGAAAUGGGACUAAAGGAGGCUGUAAUUCGAAGCUAUGAUGGUGAAGCGGAUAGAGCUAGAGUGGAAGACCUUGAACGAAGAUGCGAGGUAGGACCAACGGAGCGAGUAUAUCUCUUCACAGACACUAUGGGUGACCCCAUAUGUAGGAUCCGGAACAGUCCGAUGCACAAGAUGCUGGUGGCCGAGUUGGACAACCAGUUGGUUGGAGUCAUUCAAGGCUCGAUAAAGUUGGUGACGGUUCAUAAUAAGCCGCCGCCUAGAGAUCAUGAGGCCAAUCUGGCCAGAGUGGGCUACAUCCUCGGCCUGAGGGUCGCACCAUUCCAUCGUCAAAAAGGGAUUGGUUCCAGACUGGUGUGUUGUUUAGAGGAUUGGUUCGUAGCCAACGACGUAGAUUACUCAUACAUGGCCACCGAGAAAGACAACGAAGCUUCAGUCAGGCUUUUCAUUGAGAAGUUUGGCUACAUCAAGUUCAGGACCCCUGCAAUUCUGGUAAACCCGGUUCGUUGCCGGCCCUGCCACGUCUCUUCCAACGUUGAAAUCGCAAAGCUCAAGGUAGAAGAAGCUGAGUUUCUGUACAGAAAGUGUAUGGCUUCCACUGAUUUCUUUCCUCAUGACAUAAACAAAGUGCUUGGGAACAAACUGAGCUUGGGGACUUGGGUGGCCUAUCCAAGAGGAGAGUUUGGCAAUUUUGAAUCAAAUGGGCAAGCUCUACCAAAAAGUUGGGCUAUGAUUAGUGUAUGGAACAGCGGUGAGGUUUUCAAAUUGAGGCUAGGGAAGGCACCUCUGUCUUGUCUGUUGUAUGCAAAAAGCUGGAGACUGAUGGAUAGGUUUUUGCCUUGCUUUAAAUUACUGCCUUCCAUGCCUGAUUUUUUCAACCCUUUUGGGUUUUACUUCAUGUAUGGGGUGUACCAUGAAGGACCAUUGUCAGGGAAACUGGUGAGGAAUUUGUGCCACUUUGUGCACAACAUGGCUAGUACUACAACUAAGAACUUCUGCUGCAAGGUCGUAGUAACAGAAGUUGGGGGUUAUGACUCAGUACUAAGACAUCACAUCCCACAUUGGAAGUUGCUCUCUUGCUCUGAGGAUUUGUGGUGCAUAAAAGCCAUGAAGAAAAAUGAAGCAGACAGAACCAGCCUUCAUGAAUUGACUAAAACCCAACAAAUAAAUAAAGCUCUUUUUGUUGACCCAAGAGAGGUAUGACCGUAUGAGUGGUGAAAUUAUGAUCAACCCAAAGUCUCCUCGGUCUGCCUCGCGCUGGAUACCCCGCAGGCCAGGAGAUUCAUUAUUUCUAAGCAUGGAAAAGUGUAUAUCAAGCACAAAGAGAACAGAGCCAGCUAGCUAACAUCAAGUUUAAUUACCACAGAGAACUUGUUGUACGUUUUCUUUGUUAAAUAAAGAAACUCGCAGCAAGUGGAGUACACUACAGGUCACAUUUAUUAGGUUCAGUGCUGAAUGGUGAAUAAGUGUUUCACACAUACUGUGAGUGGUUUGAAAGUUCUUUAAUAAUGAUGAGCCAUUGGCAAGAAAAAAAGAAUCAUGCAUGAUUAUGCCCAAA